UACAGGGGGGGCAAGCGUUGUUCGGAAUUACUGGGCGUAAAGGGCUUGUAGGUGGCCAACUAAGUCAGACGUGAAAUCCCUCGGCUUAACCGGGGAACUGCGUCUGAUACUGGAUGGCUUGAGUGUGGGAGAGGGAUGCGGAAUUCCAGGUGUAGCGGUGAAAUGCGUAGAUAUCUGGAGGAACACCGGUGGCGAAGGCGGCAGCCUGGUUGGCUCCUGACGCUCGGACACGACAGCAUGGGGAGCGAACGGG
rnacentral:rRNA from 1 species